CCAAGCGUUCCUCCCCCUGAAACCCUAACCGAUCUAGAGGAAAGGCUAUCGGCAACAAGAAGUUCAUCGUCGAUCUUCAUUGUUAGCGACUUCGUUUCCCUAACUAUCGUUGUCUUAGCGCACAACUUCACUAGUGAACGUGAUGGAUCUAACAACGGUAAAAGGUAUGAUCUGUUUCGUAAUUUGCAUCCAGUGGCUAGGGUUGUUGGAGAAAGAAAUUGCUUCUGAAAAAAUAGAAUAUUUAUUGUUUCCGUUGCAAAGUUAUUUCAAAAAAUUGAGAUUAUGUUUAUUAAUAUUUAAUUAGAGGAGAAUAAAUAGAUUUUUUUAAAGUUAGUUGUGGUAUUGUUAUUUUCUUACCAACGUUGAUGAUAGCAAUAUCAUGAUUUUAUGAUUUUACAUUAAAGCUCAAAUCUCUAUUUUUUUUGCAUCAUAGUGACCAAUUUCCAGAGAAUACAUAGAGAUCAAGAAACGUUCUUAAACUAAAGAAAUGUAUUUGGGCUAACAUGAAAAAUGAUGAUAAAGAAAUGUAUUUUUUGCAUCAUAAUAAUGAUGAUUAUCUUCUAAUUAAAUUCGAACCAAAUGGAGAAUUUAAUUUGAGUAGUCACAUGUUUUCAAGAUAUUGAGUACAUUAUUUCUAUUUAUGCCCAACAGUGAUGUGGAGUUAAUGUAGAAGAAUGAUGUUUUAUUCUAUUUCUGCCUAACGGUUAUAUAGAAUUGAACACAAAUAUGUCAAAGUUUAAUGAGCAUUAAUGUUGAUUAUUGUUGAAUAUUUUUCAGACAAAAAAUUCCAUGCUUUCAUUCUUGAAGGCAAUAAGAAAAUGUCCUAAGUACUUGUGACUCAGAAAGAAAGUCAUUGCAUGGUGGUUGUGUUCUCCUUAAAGAACGGCUUGAAAUGAAAAAAGGAAUACUUAGACAUUAAUCUAAGAAAAGUUGAUAAAGAAAAA
rnacentral:lncRNA from 1 species